rnacentral:rRNA from 1 species
AUGAACGCUGGCGGCGUGCCUAACCCAUGCAAGUCGCGCGGCAGCGAGGGGUGCUUGCACCCUGUCGGCGAGCGGCGGACGGCUGAGUAACGCGUGGGAACGUGCCCCAAAGUGAGGAAUAACUGCCCGAAAGGGUAGCUAAUACCGCAUAUUAUCUUCGGAUCAAAGGAUUUAUCCGCUUUGGGAGCGGCUCGCGUCGGAUUAGGUAGUUGGUGAGGUAAUGGCUCACCAAGCCGACGAUCCGUAGCUGGUCUGAGAGGAUGACCAGCCAGACUGGAACUGAGACACGGUCCAGACUCCUACGGGAGGCAGCAGUGAGGAAUCUUCCACAAUGGGCGAAAGCCUGAUGGAGCAACGCCGCGUGCAGGACGAAGGCCUUCGGGUUGUAAACUGCUUUUAUAAGUGAGGAAUAUGACGGUAACUUAUGAAUAAGGAUCGGCUAACUACGUG